rnacentral:rRNA from 1 species
CGCUGGCGGCGUGCUUAACACAUGCAAGUCGAACGAUGAACCACUUCGGUGGGGAUUAGUGGCGAACGGGUGAGUAACACGUGGGCAAUCUGCCCUUCACUCUGGGACAAGCCCUGGAAACGGGGUCUAAUACCGGAUAUCACUUCCACUCGCAUGGGUGGGGGUUGAAAGCUCCGGCGGUGAAGGAUGAGCCCGCGGCCUAUCAGCUUGUUGGUGAGGUAAUGGCUCACCAAGGCGACGACGGGUAGCCGGCCUGAGAGGGCGACCGGCCACACUGGGACUGAGACACGGCCCAGACUCCUACGGGAGGCAGCAGUGGGGAAUAUUGCACAAUGGGCGAAAGCCUGAUGCAGCGACGCCGCGUGAGGGAUGACGGCCUUCGGGUUGUAAACCUCUUUCAGCAGGGAAGAAGCGAAAGUGACGGUACCUGCAGAAGAAGCGCCGGCU